AACGCACAUUGCGCCCAUUGGUAUUCCUUUGGGCAUGUCUGUUUGAGCGUCAUUACAACCCUCAGCUAACCGCUGGUUUUGAACCGGAACGGGUAACUCCGCACCGGUUUUAAAGUUGUAAGCUCUGCUGGCUGCUCUGCCAAACCAGAACAUAGUAAACCCUACUUGUUCAAAAGGUGAAGCUAAGCGGUACGGCCUGAACAAAACCUACCCAUUUUUUAAGGUUUGACCUCAGAUCAGAUAAGGAUACCCGCUGAACUUAA
rnacentral:misc_RNA from 1 species